CCUACGGGUGGCAGCAGUGGGGAAUAUUGCACAAUGGCCGAGAGGCUGAACCAGCCAAGUCGCGUGAGGGAAGAAUGUCCUAUGGAUCGUAAACCUCUUUUGCCCGGGAGCAACAUCACCCACGUGUGGGUGUUGGCGAGUACCUGCAGAAAAAGCAUCGGCUAACUCCGUGCCAGCAGCCGCGGUAAUACGGAGGAUGCGAGCGUUAUCCGGAUUUAUUGGGUUUAAAGGGUGCGUAGGCGGGUUAUCAAGUCAGCGGUAAAAUCGUGGAGCUCAACCCCAUCCAGCCGUUGAAACUGAUGACCUUGAGUUGGCGAGAAGUAUGCGGAAUGCGUGGUGUAGCGGUGAAAUGCAUAGAUAUCACGCAGAACUCCGAUUGCGAAGGCAGCAUACCGGCGCCCGACUGACGCUGAAGCACGAAAGCGUGGGUAUCGAACAGGAUUAGAUACCCGUGUAGUC
rnacentral:rRNA from 1 species